ensembl:lncRNA
UGUAAUCAAAGUAGUUGAAUUAUGAUAUUGCUGUAGGUCAUAUUAUACCCCUUAAUAUAGAGUGUGUGAUCAGUAUGUAGUUUUAGUUUGCAUUAUACUUCUGACUUAAAAGAGUGUGAAAAUCAUUAGAUCUAUUUGAUUGACCUGUAUUACUCGACACUGUUGAAUGUGUUACACUGUUUCUUGACAUUUCAUACUGCUGAAUCAUGAAGAGAAUGUUGUGUGCAGGAGACCUUGUGUCUAGAAUAGAAGAAGAGAAGACCACAUUCCAUACCCCCACCUUUACAGAGAGCAGAAAGACAAGGAGUCGAGGUCAUAACUUAGGCGCCGUAAGAGAGAAAACAUGUGAAUGUUUAGGCUUUUACGACUAGGUGGGGGCUACUAGGGGCUAUAAAAGGCUGAGUAACCCGUCACCAUUUUGAGACUUGCUGUGACCCUCUGCAGCCCAAAGAUUAAAAGAACUGGGAGAUUUUAACAACUUGGUGCCUGGUGACCCGGAUCUUUGGCGUGCUGAGGAGGUGCAGAUUUGGCCUGUGGUGAGAUCUUGGGGCGAGGCGAACAGAGGGCCGGCCUAAACAGAAAGGUAAGCACAGCCUGUUGUAUUAUAAAUACCAAAUGUGCAUAUUGGGCUUUCCAAAUUAAUCUGUUCGCUGAGUUACACGUAUUUUCACAGUAAAUUUGUCGGUGUCUGGUUUUUGGCGCAAGAUACUAACAACAUAAGUUGAGGCCGAAUUCCAGUGUGUUAGAUAAACUGCUUCUACCAAGAAACUAAUAAUACACUACGUUGAGCUAGUUGCAGUUUAAUUGUUUCUACCAAGAAACUAAUAACAUACUACGUUGAGCUAGUUGCAGCCCACUUUACCUUCCACAUUUAACUUUGUCUAAGACUGGCUUCUGUAGCAAUAAUACAUUAGAAUCUUUGGAGACGCGGCUAUAUGUCCAGUACAUUGAAUAGAGGUUUUGAAGUUGGUUUAUGGUGUCGGAUAUAAGCCCUCGUUGAUGCGGUCAUAAAAUUGGUAUAAGAUUAAGGUUAAGCAGAUACUGGCUUACGGUGUCGGUUAAGCGCUAGCAACGCGUAAUGCGAAACACGUCCGUAGGUUUUGGUUUAUGAUAUGGCCGUGUUCUGGUGAUGCGGCCGUAAGUACAGUAGUGAGGGGUUGCUGGUUUCAGCACAUUGAAAAGAGGUUAGACGGUGGUUUAUGGUGUCGGUUAAGCCUCGAGGGUUGCGGCCAUAAAAUUAUAAGUAAAAUAUUUACUUCACCCCGAUUAAAGGUAAAGCAGACCCUGGUUUAUGGUGUCGGUUUUGAGCCUCGGGGACGAGCAUCACUUCUGUUUUAUGAUGCGAUUUUGCCCCGUGGUGCCGGUCAUAAGCGCAGUGAAAGGGGUACCUGGUGUAUGGUGCGGUUGUGCUUCGGAAGAGUUCUAACAGUUGAGCUUAAGAGGUUUCUGUGUAAAUUUCCGCUGGUGAAAAGCGCUCUCUGUGGGUCUCACUGCUGGUGAGGCGCGCUCUGGGUGCUGCUGUGUGUGUGAGGCGCGCUCUGGGUGCAGCUCUGUGUGUCAGGCGCGCUCUGGGUGUGUUUCUGUGUGUGCAGCGUGAACACAGUAACAGUGACGGUUGAUGUGUGAUUAGGAGGACAUUAGUGCGAAGAAGAUGCUUUAAGAUCUAAGGUUGACGCCUAGUGUACCUGUGGAAAUUAAUUUUGCCCUGGGGUUGGCUCCCCCACCGUACGUUGGACGCGGCGUACGGACCAGCGUCGUCUGGAGGUCCAGGUUUAUCACCUGAGAGCUGAGGGCCCUCAAACGAUAACAGAAUAACACUGGAACGGCCGUGUAAUCACGGGUUCACAUUUAUUCUGGAAUAGAACAAGAAAAUGCUUUGUCAUCUAAGGUUGAGUUCUAUAGUAGUCAAAAGAAAACCGAGGUUAGAGUCCUCAUUUCUUAAAAUAGAGGUUAGAGUCCUCGUUUCAGUGACGUUUCAGUGGUUAAAAUUGUUGUGUGCCUGUCCCCUGAUAACGUGAAAUUAAGAACAAAGAGGGAAUUUGGAGCCACAUAGAGAUAGACGGGCAGAAUUGGGUGUAUUACUCUGUGGUGUAAUAAAAAUAAAAAUUAAAAAAAGGAGAGAGAGGAAGGUGUUGGGAGACUGACGUGCAGUUUGCGCUGUCAAGGUGGGCGUGUUGCCUGCUUAUAUGUUUAACAGUGAUGAAAAUGAUAUUAAAUAAAUCUCUUAGUGUGUUAAUACAGGAAGCUACGGACCUGGACCAACUGCCCCCACAAGCACAGCGGCCGAAGCAAAAUUAUAAGUAAUGGGAACCACACCCAGCAAGAAUCAGCAGCUGUGAAACAGACAGCAGCGAGGAGAGAAUUAGAGGAGAAAUUAAGAGAAGUUUUAACACAAAAUUGGGGCCAACGGACUUGUGGAGGUUGGGAAGGCGUCCGGAGCAUCACAACAAAAGGUGAAACAAAAACACACACAAGCAGAGAAAUGUGAGAGAAAGGCUCCUUUUAAGGUAACGCCUUGUUUGAGAAAAAGUUAAAAUUAACCUGCCUAAAAAUGCACACACAUGCAAUGAAAAAACAGCUUACACUCAUGAACAUGUGAAGAUUUUCCAGCAAGGUUAAAGCAGCAAAAAUUAACAUACUUUUGUUGUUAAAUGAUGAAGUUUAUGCAUUACUAACAAAUAAACCCUCUGGGUUGCAGGACAACAAUUUAACUUCAAAGAAAAAGAAAAUAAA